rnacentral:rRNA from 1 species
AGUGAACGCUGGCGGUAGGCCCAACACAUGCAAGUCGAACGGCAGCACAGAGGAGCUUGCUCCUUGGGUGGCGAGUGGCGGACGGGUGAGGAAUACAUCGGAAUCUACUUUUUCGUGGGGGAUAACGUAGGGAAACUUACGCUAAUACCGCAUACGACCUACGGGUGAAAGCAGGGGACCUUCGGGCCUUGCGCGAUUGAAUGAGCCGAUGUCGGAUUAGUUAGUUGGCGGGGUAAAGGCCCACCAAGGCGACGAUCCGUAGCUGGUCUGAGAGGAUUAUCAGCCACACUGGAACUGAGACACGGUCCAGACUCCUACGGGAGGCAGCAGUGGGGAAUAUUGGACAAUGGGAGCAAGCCUGAUCCAGCCAUACCGCGUGGGUGAAGAAGGCCUUCGGGUUGUAAAGCCCUUUUGUUGGGAAAGAAAUCCAGCCGGCUAAUACCUGGUUGGGAUGACGGUACCCAAAGAAUAAGCACCGGCUAACUUCGUGCCAGCCGCCGCAGUAA